UUCUAUUUUUUCUCUAACGGUUCAAAUUUUUUCCCAAACAGUUCGAAUUACUCGACAUGAGGAUCGCAUAAAAAUUAUUAUAACGUUUAUUUUUUUGCCAAUAUUUCAAAAAUUUUAUCUGGUCAUACAUUCGGAACAAUUGGGUUCAUUUAAUAUAUGAACAUAGAUAGCUUUCAACGCAACAAAUCUCAUUCACCGAGUUCAGUGGACAGAAAUUUUUUCUCAGUUUCGGUUCGUACUAUAGUUUUUCCCUCAGUUCAUUACUACGAUAAUAAGUUCCCUGUUACCUGCUUUCUCGAAUAGACGUUAACAUUGUAUGUAUUUUUAUUGAAAAUGAAUCGUCACCGGAGUUGCUUUCAUAAGUUUUGGUUUCAUGGUAUCGCGUUGUCUAAAAAAAAUCUGCUCGUUUCUAGAUUUUGAUUAGAUUUACUCAAAUUGCCCAAGAUAAAAUUCAAAAAUAAUAUUUGAAAUUGAAUGGAGUAUCAGUUAUAUUUUAACCUUUUUCUGCUGAGCUUCAUGAAUUCAAACGUUCAGUGCAUUGGCCACGAUUCGAACGAGAACUCGAAAAGUUCUCGUUAAUAAGGGAAGUAGCUUCUUAUGUUAAGAGUGUUUUGAUUGCAAAUACCCUGAAAAUAUUUGUAUAUAUAUAUGCGUCUUAUUCUGUUAUGAAAUAUGAAAAUAUCUCACGAUUAAAUUUAUCUUGCGAUUAACGUCUCAAAUUGUCAAGGUUUGUUCCUUGAUUGCCUCUUAUAUCCUCGCUUUUUUCGUCAUUCGUCUCGCUUUACUGAAACAUUGUUCACUAUAUUGUCAAUCAGUUAUUUUCCUUAUCUAACAACUUCUAUAUAUUAUAAGUUACAAACGACGGGUUAGAAUUAGCCUCGGCAUCAACGCGUAAUUUUCUGUAAUUUUGAUUGGAUGAAACAAGACCAAAUGAGCCGCUCAAACUGGUACAAAAUCAUUUUCAUUUCCUUUUUGUUUUCCGAUUAGAAUCAACAUUCUGUGGAAUAUUCUCACAGGUCCAUAUUUCAGGAUAAUAUGUUUCGAUGUUCAUUGUCCUCGACCAUUAUUUUCGCUUCAAAAUUUCCUUGUAAGCCCGUAGGUUGCAGCUCCUAGUCGUUUGUGUGACCAGACCACAUUUCCGUAUUCGUUUAGACGUGAAACGCCCCGAGAUUUGGAGCAGCAAGGCUUGGAUUUGCGACUCCCGGCGAGCCGUGAAAAUUUAUUAAUUUUUAUAGCCAAUUUUUACCCAAAUUUGUAUAAGUUCUUCUCAAUAUUUUCACUGCUAAUUAUAAACAAUCUAAAUUCUGCACAAUUUAAAACAUUGCGCGACUAAAAUUUGAACUGUGUUGAAAUUUCCAUUAUUCAACACGCAUAACAUUUAACACAAGACAUAAUGUGGCACUUUUCUGCCAUGGUUCUUGCGAGCCGGAACAAAACUUCUUUGGUCAAAAAUAACUCUGAUUUAACUGCUGCUUCAAAUUACGAUUGGACGGUCAAACUGAACAUUUUUGAGCGUCAAAAAUAAAAGCAAUAGCUCAAAAUAUUUUCUACUCCCUCCAACUUUUUAUUUCGGGUUGUUGAGUUCACUUUACUCUUUGUCAUCGGAUGGUAACUCUCGGAGCAACCCUAGCCUUCAGGAACGAAUUGGAUUUACGAGGUUAAAUUAGCCGUUUACAAAAAGGUUGAAUUUUUGUCUACAAAUCAUUUAUGCCUUUAGAUAUGAAUAGCAUUGACAAGGAGUAUUGUAUUCGUACAAGAAAGAGUAACUCCUUGUCUACUGGUGGUGACUGCAUAGGUACUCUGCCUUUAGGUAUCAGUUGCAUUGACGAUAGUUUCGGUAUUUGUGAUGAUUUAGAGCUGCAUCGUCAUUGUCUGAAUAAUACUCGUUGAAGUCCAAACAGCCAUCGCUGGGGUAUGUAAAAGCUGUAAAUACGAAUUAAUCUGAUAAUAGUUCUUAUUUUUAGGACGCUUCUUGGACUUGUAGCAGAUCUAUGGAUGAAGUUAGACUCGCAAAAAUUAUCUAUAUAUAUUAAGCUUUAAUGGGUUGUAAAUUAAGAAGAAUGUGAAAACUCGUUUAUGUAGAUAUUUUAACCUCUGAAAUGUCUUUGUGUAAUAUUAAAUUGCUUGAGUACGCUACCGCUGG